rnacentral:lncRNA from 1 species
CAAUGGGAGUAUGACUUGGGCAGCUCCAGCUGGCUCCUCUGCUAGUCUUGCCGCAGUCACCAGUUUUGGAGGAAUGGGAGAGGAGCUUUCCACUCCUCUGAGAGUCAUGUCGAGAGUCUGUCUUAGCCCUCGACCCCUCAGUCUUUGUAGAUCUCAUCCCAGAACCCCGAGGGAGAGCACUCUCCAUCCUAUUUCUACAGGUAAUUGCUGAAGGAUUUUUGCUUCAAACAGGCUCUUGUUUGCAUCAAGUGUGGGGUGCAGCAAAGUGGACUCGGGACUGGCCGAUGUCUGGCCAGAAAUGCCAGGCAAGGGAAACAGUGACUCUAGUGGGGUCAGGAGAGGGGCAUCUGCUGGCCCAGGAGCGCAAGGCAGAGGGGUGAGGCGACUCUGAGGCAGGAGGUCCAAGUUUGCUGGACAAUGGCAGAAACAGAAUUCAAACACCUGUCUUCUAGGAGAAGUUCUGGUCUCUCCUCGGUGCUGCGGCUGCCCCGGGAAGAGUUUCCAGGAGCUGACAAGCAUUCAGAUGAGUAAAGAUGGGAUCGGAUUGAGAAAAGGAGAAGGGAGAGCAUAUUCGUUCUCUUUCCACCUCCCUCCCACAGCCUUUCAUGCUGAUCUCAUCUGACGAAGCUGCCUCCUCCUCCCUGGACUCUACAAGCCCCUGUCAUGAUGUUUCUCAGAUCCUGAAUUCCAGCGAAACAGAUGAUACUAACAAGUUUGAAGACCCCCACAGAGGAAUGGAAUCAGUAUGAGAACACAGUUUCUUCAUCUCCCUGUCCCAGAACUUCACCCUGGACUCCUCGACCAAUCAACAAUCUCCACACUUCGGCCCACUCCAAAACUCCUAAAAUCCCAAGCUCCAAACUCCUCUGGGAGAUGGAUUUGAGGCUUCCUCCCGUUUCCUUGUGUGGAAGCCCUGUCAUUAAACCUCUUUCUCUG